rnacentral:rRNA from 1 species
AACUAAGCGGAGAUUGGUAUUUCAGGAGUAUCUUAUCAUUGAUCUCAGGAACAAAUUGGGCUAGGAUGCAGCUGGUUUUUUUUUCGAAAAAAAAAAGCAUGUGCUCCUCUUGCUUCAGUUUUUGACCCACCUGUGCAUCUUGUGUAAAUUUUGGACACUUCACGGAAAGAUAAAAAUUUCCUGGUUUUGAGAAGAUGUUUUCAAAUAUGACAAACUCUUCUUGUGUUCAAAUCUACGUUAUCUUUUCUACAAUACGUUUUAUAAUCACAUAAUCAGAAUGAUCAAUAAAUUUAAAUUGAAACAACUUUCAACAACGGAUUUCUUGGCUCUCGCAUCGAUGAAGAACGCACCGAAAUGCGAUAAGUAGUGUGAAUUGCAAAAUUCAGUGAAUCAUCAAAUUUUUGAACGAAUCUUGCGCUUCUCGGUACCCAUUCCAAAAAGCAUGUCUGUUUGAGUGUCAUAAAAUUCUCAAAUUUCAUCUAAAUUUAAAUUUAAAUUUGAUUUGGAUUGUGGAACUUUUUGUCGGCUUGAAAAAAAAACCUGCUCUUCUGAAAUAUAUUAGUAAAAGUCCAAUUUGCCCUUUUUCGGUAUGAUAAUUAUCAUGUGCCGCAGGGAAUAAAUGGUUUGUGUUGCCUAAGCUUUUGCUUCCAGCUGUUCUCUCUUCGAGGACAACCACGUAUUAUGACAAUGUGACCUCAAACCAAAUAGGACUUACCCGCUAAACUUAAGCCUAUCAAUAACCGGAAGAACCCCCUUCUGAUACCACUAAUAUAACAAACACACAUUUCCUCAUACAAUCUCCAACCCAUACCUCAACCUACUCACAUCCACAACUCCACUAAAAACCAAGAUACCAUCUAUACCCUCAAACUACCUUACACACUAUCUACUACAAACCCUAUCCACUUCCCAACAUAUAUCCACACCUCACUCUACCAUCACAUAUCACCAACCUCCUACCCUCUCCACCAACCCCAUAACCUCCUACAAACAUAACAACACUCUAUACCCUCACCCAUUAACCAUAAUCACCUACUCCCAAACAACCACACUCACCUUAUAUAACUCCCACACCGCUACUAUAUACCAACCUACAACAUCUUUCUAAUACCUCCACCCUUUAUAUUACUUCCACUCUCUACUCCAACACUACACGACUCUAUUAACUAAACACUCAACCUCCACACCUUACUCAUAUUCAAACUCACAUUCACACCCACAACCUUCUCAUCUCCCAUAUUAUACCUAAAUAAUCAACCGUCCUAUUUCCCUAUACACCUCUCUUCUCACCACACCUAAAAUCUAUAUCCACCUCAUCCUACACUAAACCUACCAUCAACAUAAUCAAUCCACCACCCCCAUCAUUCAAUACUUACUCAUACCCCAUUUACACCUUCAA